UACGUAGGGUGCGAGCGUUGUCCGGAAUCAUUGGGCGUAAAGAGCGCGUAGGCGGUCCGGUAAGUCGGUUGUGAAAGUCGGGGGCUCAACCCUCGGAGGCCGACCGAUACUGUCGGGCUAGAGUCCGGAAGAGGCGAGUGGAAUUCCUGGUGUAGCGGUGAAAUGCGCAGAUAUCAGGAGGAACACCAAUUGCGAAGGCAGCUCGCUGGGACGUUACUGACGCUGAGACGCGAAAGCGUGGGGAGCAAACAGG
rnacentral:rRNA from 1 species